rnacentral:rRNA from 1 species
GACGAACGCUGGCGGCGUGCUUAACACAUGCAAGUCGAACGGAAAGGCCCUGCUUUUGUGGGGUGCUCGAGUGGCGAACGGGUGAGUAACACGUGAGUAACCUGCCCUUGACUUUGGGAUAACUUCAGGAAACUGGGGCUAAUACCGGAUAGGAGCUCCUGCUGCAUGGUGGGGGUUGGAAAGUUUCGGCGGUUGGGGAUGGACUCGCGGCUUAUCAGCUUGUUGGUGGGGUAGUGGCUUACCAAGGCUUUGACGGGUAGCCGGCCUGAGAGGGUGACCGGCCACAAUGGGACUGGGAUACGGCCCAGACUCCUACGGGAGGCAGCAGUGGGGAAUAUUGCACAAUGGGCGGAAGCCUGAUGCAGCAACGCCGCGUGCGGGAUGACGGCCUUCGGGUUGGAAACCGCUUUCGCCUGUGACGAAGCGUGAGUGACGGUAAUGGGUAAAGAAGCACCGGCUAACUACGUG